rnacentral:tRNA from 1 species
GCCCUCGUAGCUCAGGGGAUAGAGCAACUGCCUCCUAAGCAGUAGGCCGCAGGUUCGAAUCCUGCCGAGGGCG